UACGGAGGGUGCGAGCGUUGUCCGGAAUCGCUGGGCGUAAAGGGCGCGUAGGCGGCGCGGGCAGUCAACGGUGAAAGCUCGGAGCUCAACUCCGAGUCGGCCGUCGAUACUCCCGUGCUUGAGCACUGUAGAGGCAGAUGGAAUUCCGGGUGUAGCGGUGGAAUGCGUAGAGAUCCGGAAGAACACCGGUGGCGAAAGCAGCUCUCUGGGACGGUACUGACGCUGAGACGCGAAAGCGUGGGGAGCGAACAGG
rnacentral:rRNA from 1 species